rnacentral:lncRNA from 1 species
GACUCUCACUCUGGUACCCAGGCUGGAGUGCAGUGGCAUGAUCUUGGCUCACUGCAACUUCCAACUCCUGGGUUUGAGUGAUUCUCCAGCCUCAGCCUCCCAAGUAGCUGGGAUCACAGGCGUGUGCCACCACGCCUGGCUAAUUUUGUCUUUUUAGUAGAGACAGGGUUUCUCCAUGUCGGUCAGGCUGGUCUCGAACUCCUUACCUCAGAGGAUCCACCUGCCUCGGCCUCCCAAAGCACUGGGAUUACAGGCGUGAGCCACUGUGCCUGGCCAAAAUGUUAUACUCUCUAAUGUUACUGGGAGAAAAAAAGAAACACUUACCUUCACUCCCAAAUCCAGGUGAGGCCCUGAUUAGGGAGCAGUGUUUACCAUACAGUUCUUGGGCACUCUCCAGCAAGGGCACCCCCAGGACAUGGGAAGGAAGCCACACAGUUUUGGCCCAGCAACUGUUUACUCUGCCCGCUACCCUGCAGUUUUCUCUUUGAGGAAGACAUAACAACUGCGGCUUUCAUCAUCAUUGGCUGAAAGAAAAUCUCUUUGUUUACAAAAAUAAAGGCUAAGAUAGAAGCUGUUACUUAAGGUCAGUGACCUCUUUCUCCUGGCCUAGCUCAAUGAUUGGAAGGAGGAUUAUGGAGGGCAAACCAUGCCAAUCUUCAGGGGAACAAUUUCCAGUCCUGUGACCAUCACCUGUCUGCCCUCAUCUCCACUACCUAUUGUCUCUGAAUAUGAUGUACUGGCCAAAGUGGGAAAAUCCAGGCUCAUCUUGAACUUUCCCAGUCCUAGAUCUGGAAUCAAUUCUCUCUCCAAGAAGCCCUGGCUCCUUUUAGUGGGGAAUGGUAUUCAGAAACCAAGAUGCAGACGGAGUCUCGUUCUGUCGCCAGGCUGGAGUGCAGUAGUGCUAUCUCGGCUCACUGUAAUCUCCGCCUCCCAGGUUCAAGCGAUUCUCCUGCCUCAGCCUCCUGAGUAGCUGGGAUUACAGGCACGCACCACCACACCCACGUAAUUUUUGUAUUUUUAGUAGAGACGGGAUUUCACCAUGUUGGCCAGGAUGGUCUCAAUCGCUGACCUUGUGAUCUGCCUGCCUCAGCCUCCCAAAGUGCUGAGAUUACAGGCGUGAGCCACCGCACCCGGCUGAAAGCCUUGAUUCUUAAUAUGAACAUAGUUACAUAUAUUGUUUUAACCUAUAAUACAUAAAAACAGUUUCAAAAUUACAACAUCACUAUUACUUCAAUAAUAAAAUUACUGAAGAAAAUUUAAGAUUUAUUUGUAUUUUCCAUGUCUUUAUAAUAUAUUCCACUUAGAAUGUACAGUCAGAGUACUGUGUACAAGUCACUUAAAAUAACUCUUUUUUCCUCUGGGUAAUGUUACUGAUUUGAUAUACAGUUAGGUUCAUUUGUUUCACUUUAUUUUAAUUUUGGAGUUUGCUUUAUAUUCCUUUUUAUAUUAAUAUAAUUUUGAAAUAUGUAAAACACAAUCCUAAUGGAGGAUUUUAACAGGCCUAUUAGAAACUAAUAAAUAAGACCAGUAAGUAUAUAGAAGAAUUGGACAAUACAAUUAACAAGCUUGAGAAAGCUGACUACCCAGCUCAUUUUAUGCGGUUAAUAUAAUCUUGAUACCAAUAACAAAAAAGGAGAGUAUGGGAAAAGAAAUGUAUGGGCCAAUCACUGUUACAAAUAUAGGUACACAAAAAGAAAAUUAGCAAACCGGCCGGGUGUGGUGGCUCACACCCGUAAUCCCAGCACUUUGGGAGACUGAGGCAGGUGGAUCACCUGAGGUCAGGAGUUUGAGACCAGCCUGGCCAACAUGGUAAAACCCCGUCUCCACUAAAAAAAAAAAAAAAAAAAAAAAAAAAAAGAAGAAGAAGAAGAAAAAUUAGCUGGGCAUUGUGUCAUCCACCUGUAACCCCAGCUACUAGGGAGAAUGAGGCAGGAGAAUCGCUUGAACCCAGGAGGCGGAGGUUGCAGUGAGCCAAGAUCAUGCCAUUGCAUUCCAGCUUGGGCAACAAGAGUGAAACUCCAUCUCAGAAAAAGAAAAAAAAAAGGAAAAUUAGCAAACCAAAUCCAGUAGGAUGUGCAUAGUUAGAUAGACAAAUAUUUGAUAGAUUAAUGGAUAGACAGAUACAUCAAGAGGCAGUAUGAGAUGGAAGGUGAGGCAGUAGACUCUGAAGUCAGAAAGCCUACCUUUGUAUCUCAGGUUCACCAAUUAUAAUCUGUAUAAACUUGAGCAAGUCAGUUAAUCUAUCUUUGCCUUAGUUUCCUCAUAUGCAAAAUAGUCAUAAUAAUAGUACCUACCUUAUAGUUUUGUUGUGAGGCAUCAAUCAGUUAAUAUAUGUAAAUACUUAACAUGGUCAAUGUUAUAGAAGUGUUGGCUGCUAUUAUUUUUGCUAUUUUUAUUAUUGAAGGACAUCCUAGCCACAGAGUGGCCAUGACUCACGGUCCCUCCACCAAGUUAACCAAACUCAAGGUUAAGGGUACUGUCCUCCAGAUGGCCAAGUCUGCCCAAGACUUCUGAGAUCAGAUGAGAUGGGGCAUGUUCAGGGUGGCAUGGCCAUAGACUGCCCAAGACUUCUGAUACCAGCUUCAGGGAGUUUGCCCUUCUGCCAAGUCAAUGGAAAUUGUCCUGCAAGACUGCCCUCAUAUCAGACCUCAGCUGCAAGUUUGGGGUUCCCCAGAGCCACUCUCACUUCAGAGCAGCUGGCUACAAAUUCUAGGGUCCCCACAGACCCCCUCAGAUUCAAUAAUUUGCUAGAAGGGCUGAUAGAACUCUAGAGGAAAGCACUCAGCAUAGCAUUACUGUCUUAUGGUAGUGAAAGGAUACAAAUGAGAGCCAGCCAAAGGAAGAGAUGCACACGGUGAAAUCCAGGAUAGUCUCAAACACAAAGCUCUGUCAUCCUCAGGGACGUGUUACCCUCUCCACAUCAAAGUGUGACAAUACUCAAAAAAUACUGCCAACCAGGGAAGCUCACCUGAGCCUUUGGUGUCCAAAGUUUUUAUUGAGACUCUGUCACACACUGCCCAUGUGGCCAAUCUUUAGACUCCAGCCCUUCCCAAAGGUCAGGAUGAGUUUGGUUUCCGGUUCUUCUGGAGGUCAGAACUGGUAUGGCGUGGCUCAAAGCCCCCAUCAUAAAUCACACGGUUAGAUCAUAGCCAAAGCCCCAGGGCAAACAAAGACAUUCCUAUCAGGCUGGACAUUCCAGAGGCCUAGAAAUCACCUCCCAGUAGCUGAGGGCAAAGGCUAAACUGCUCUUCGAGUAAAAUUAAUUCUUCACUACAAGGCUCCCAAAUCCUUUUUAGCCUUACUCACACUUCCUUACCUCCGGUGGUAGAUGGGCAUAAUAAUGGUCCCCUAUAAAUCACAUCUCCCUACCGCCUAGCCAUUACACUUUGCAAUGAGAUGUUGCCACUCCUCCUAUCAAAAGGUAACAUCUGUUUCUCCACCCCCUUGAAUCUAAGUUAGCCACGUGACUUGUUUUGACCAAUAGAAGGUGUUGAAAGUAGCACUGUGCACCCUCAGAGACUAAACCUUGACAGCCUAUUCAGUUUUCACCUCUCUUCUCUUAGAAACCUACCUUGAGACCACCAUGCUGAUAGGAAGCUGGGUCGACUCCUGGAGUAAGAGAGGCCCUGUAAAGGAGAACCAAGUUAUACCACUCAACAGCCAGCACCAACGACUUUGAUGUUUGAGUGAAGCCAUCUUUCCCCAGUCAAUCUUCUAGCCGACUGCAAUCACAUGAAUGAGCCCAUGCCAAACUGUUGUUUUAAGCUACUAGGUACAAAAAUAAUUUGUCACACAGCAAUAGAUAAUUGAUAACUUAUAAUUAAUUGGUGUUUCUGUGGGGAAAUAUGAGUGAGUCUGUUCCUUUCAACUCUGAAAACUAAAAAACAUAAAUUGUUUCAAACUUUUAAUUGUAAGGAAGAGCCCUGAAUGGAAUACCAUUGUGCAUGAAGUUCAGUCUGCAUUUUUAGUUAUCUCCUUGUGAGAACACCCUUGGUCAAGUAGCGUGGAUAUUUCUAGAUCUUUUUCUACAUACUUCCAAAAGAAUUUCCAGACACUGUACUGAAGCUCAUUCUUUUUUUUUUUUUUUUUUUUUUUUUUUUUUGAGAUGGAGUCUUGCUCUGUCGCCCAGGCUGGAGUGCAAUGGUGCAAUCUCGGUUCAAGCAAUUCUCCUGCCUCAGCCUCCCGAGUAGCUGGGAUUACAGGCAUGCACCAUAAUGCCUGGCUAAUUUUUUUGUAUUUUUAGUAGAGACGGAGUUUCACCAGUUGGCCAGGCUGGUCUCGAACUCCUGACCUCAGGUAAUCCACCCUCCUUGGCCUCCCAAAUUGCUAGGAUUACAGGUGUGAGCCACCAUGCCCGGCCUGAAUCACAUUCUCACCAGUGGUGUAUGAGGGACAUAAGGGUAUGUAACAGGCUUGACGUAAAUACGUAACGAAAAAUGAUGGAAACUCCCCCAUAGAAGGCAGAGUGCUAAAACCCUACUUCUUGAAAUCUGCCUCACCUACUUCUAGGGCCAGCCCUGAUGAUACCAGGAAGCUGAAUAGAUGGCAGGCUUCAGCUGAGUGCUCCAGCCAAUGCCCUGUGUCCAGAAGGCAAUGUAGUAUAAUGGUCAGGAGAGAAGGUUCUGGAGCCAGGCUGCCUUAGUUUAAAUACUGGCUCUAUCUCAUACAAAGCAUGACCCACUUGAAGCUUCUUAACCUCUCUAAGCCUCAAUUUGCUCAUCUCUAAAAUGGGAGGCUGGGGGCGGUAGCUCACGCCUAUAAUCCCAGCAAUUUGGGAGGCCGAGGUGGAUGGAUCACCUGAGGUCAGGAGUUCCAGAACAGCCUGGCCAACGUGGUGAAACCCCAUCUCUACUAAAAAUACAAAAAUUAGCCAGGCGUGGUGGUACAUGCCUGUAAUCCCAGCUACUUGGGAAGCUGAGGCAGGAGAAUCGGUUGAACCCAGGAGGUGGAGGUUGCAGUGAGCCGAGAUCACGCCAUUGCACUCCAACCUGGGCGACAAGAGCGAAACUCCAUCAAAAUAAUAAAUAAAAUAAAAUUAAAUUAAAGUAAAAUGGGAACAAUAUUAGUAUUCACCUCAUAGACUUGUGAGGAUUAAAUGAAAUAAUACAUGUCAAUUGCUUAAAAUAGUGCAUGGCACUCUGUAAGUGUUAGCUGUCAUUCUUAUUCUCUAUAUUGUUUGUGAACUUGUCACCAUAUAGGCAAGCCUUUAAUGAGGACUAUUUCCCUCUCUCCUGGUCAUGAGGAAAUGCCAGUAACAGACAAAAGGAGAGAUUUAAGAAGCCUCACUGGGCCAGGCGCAGUGGCUCACACCUAUAAUCCCAGCACUUUGGGAGGCCAAGGCAGGCGGAUCACCUGAGGUCAGGAGUUCGAGACCAGCCUGGUCAACAUAGUGAAACCCCGUCUCUACUAAAAAUACAAAAAUUAGCCUGGCGUGGUGGCACAUGCCUGUAAUCCCAGCUACUCGGGAGGCUGAGGCAGGAGAAUCGCUUGAACCCAGGAGGUGGAGGUUGCAGUGAACCGAGAUCGUGCCACUGUACUCUAGCCUGGGCGACAGAGCAAGACUCAGUCUUAAAAAAAAAAAAAAAAAAAAAGAAACUUCACUGAUUUCAAAAGUCAGAAUCAAAAGGGUCCAUAACCCUCCACGCACUCCUCCUUGACUCAAAAUGGUGUGUGGUCAGUGUACUCUCCGGGCUUGGGGGUAAGGUUGGGGGUGGGGAUAAGGCUGAGCAUUUGGCUUGAAUUACUCAGAAAAGGGAAGUCUGGUAAGGCAGAUUACUCUACGGGCUCCUGCUACAGCCUUUUCCCCCUUCGGUUAGGCAGCAGCAUUUCCUUAAUCACAUGGCUUGAGAGAUACCAACUCCCCAUUAACUGCAUGAACAAGGCCGCUUCUCAGUUUUUCCCUCUUGCCACUCAUGUCAGACCCUCAGUAUUACAGUCAUCAGCUCAGAGAGGCCUCACACAUUUCCACAGUUUCUUGCACUGAACUGGAGGCUUUUAGGGGCAGAUAACAGAAAGCCAAUUGGAGUCACUUGUGCAAAAGAGGAUUCAUUGAAAGGACAGUGUGGGCCGCUCCUGGAAUUAGGAGUUUUACUAAAUAAACAUGAGUCGCAAAAGCAAAAUCAGGACAGCUCCAGAGACCUCACAGUUUGAAAUGAAGUUCUUCAGAACCAGUAGGUUCUCCCUGCAUUCUGUCCUCUAUGCUUCUCUCUGUGCGUCUGUGAUAUGUUCUCAGACCAGCUUUUUCCCAGAGGCUGAGACAAUCCUGGCAGCUCGGGGCCUCACAUCCACAGUUUCACCACCCAAUAGGAAAGUGGCCUCUUUCCUUUGUUCUAAUUAAAAUUAUCCUGAGGGCCAGGUGCAGUGGUUCGCGCCUGUAAUCCCAGCACUUUGGGAGGCCAAGGUGGGCGGAUCACCUGAGG